rnacentral:rRNA from 1 species
GACGAACGCUGGCGGCGUGCCUAAUACAUGCAAGUCGAACGAACUCUGGUAUUGAUUGGUGCUUGCAUCAUGAUUUACAUUUGAGUGAGUGGCGAACUGGUGAGUAACACGUGGGAAACCUGCCCAGAAGCGGGGGAUAACACCUGGAAACAGAUGCUAAUACCGCAUAACAACUUGGACCGCAUGGUCCGAGCUUGAAAGAUGGCUUCGGCUAUCACUUUUGGAUGGUCCCGCGGCGUAUUAGCUAGAUGGUGGGGUAACGGCUCACCAUGGCAAUGAUACGUAGCCGACCUGAGAGGGUAAUCGGCCACAUUGGGACUGAGACACGGCCCAAACUCCUACGGGAGGCAGCAGUAGGGAAUCUUCCACAAUGGACGAAAGUCUGAUGGAGCAACGCCGCGUGAGUGAAGAAGGGUUUCGGCUCGUAAAACACUGUUGUUAAAGAAGAACAUAUCUGAGAGUAACUGUUCAGGUAUUGACGGUAUUUAACCAGAAAGCCACGGCUAACUACGUGCCAGCAGCCGCGGUAAUACGUAGGUGGCAAGCGUUGUCCGGAUUUAUUGGGCGUAAAGCGAGCGCAGGCGGUUUUUUAAGUCUGAUGUGAAAGCCUUCGGCUCAACCGAAGAAGUGCAUCGGAAACUGGGAAACUUGAGUGCAGAAGAGGACAGUGGAACUCCAUGUGUAGCGGUGAAAUGCGUAGAUAUAUGGAAGAACACCAGUGGCGAAGGCGGCUGUCUGGUCUGUAACUGACGCUGAGGCUCGAAAGUAAUGGGUAGCAAACAGGAUUAGAUACCCUGGUAGUCCAUACCGUAAACGAUGAAUGCUAAGUGUUGGAGGGUUUCCGCCCUUCAGUGCUGCAGCUAACGCAUUAAGCAUUCCGCCUGGGGAGUACGGCCGCAAGGCUGAAACUCAAAGGAAUUGACGGGGGCCCGCACAAGCGGUGGAGCAUGUGGUUUAAUUCGAAGCUACGCGAAGAACCUUACCAGGUCUUGACAUACUAUGCAAAUCUAAGAGAUUAGACGUUCCCUUCGGGGACAUGGAUACAGGUGGUGCAUGGUUGUCGUCAGCUCGUGUCGUGAGAUGUUGGGUUAAGUCCCGCAACGAGCGCAACCCUUAUUAUCAGUUGCCAGCAUUAAGUUGGGCACUCUGGUGAGACUGCCGGUGACAAACCGGAGGAAGGUGGGGAUGACGUCAAAUCAUCAUGCCCCUUAUGACCUGGGCUACACACGUGCUACAAUGGAUGGUACAACGAGUUGCGAACUCGCGAGAGUAAGCUAAUCUCUUAAAGCCAUUCUCAGUUCGGAUUGUAGGCUGCAACUCGCCUACAUGAAGUCGGAAUCGCUAGUAAUCGCGGAUCAGCAUGCCGCGGUGAAUACGUUCCCGGGCCUUGUACACACCGCCCGUCACACCAUGAGAGUUUGUAACACCCAAAGUCGGUGGGGUAACCUUUUAGGAACCAGCCGCCUAAGGUGGGACAGAUGAUUAGGGUG